rnacentral:rRNA from 1 species
AUUGAACGCUGGCGGAAUGCUUUACACAUGCAAGUCGAACGGCAGCACGGACUUCGGUCUGGUGGCGAGUGGCGAACGGGUGAGUAAUAUAUCGGAACGUGCCCAGUCGUGGGGGAUAACGUAGUGAAAAUUACGCUAAUACCGCAUACGAUCUAUGGAUGAAAGCGGGGGAUCGCAAGACCUCGCGCGAUUGGAGCGGCCGAUUUCAGAUUAGGUAGUUGGUGAGGUAAAGGCUCACCAAGCCGACGAUCUGUAGCUGGUCUGAGAGGACGACCAGCCACACUGGAACUGAGACACGGUCCAGACUCCUACGGGAGGCAGCAGUGGGGAAUUUUGGACAAUGGACGCAAGUCUGAUUCAGCCAUUCCGCGUGCAGGACGAAGGCCUUCGGGUUGUAAACUGCUUUUGUACAGAACGAAAAGGUCUCUAUUAAUACUAGGGGCUCAUGACGGUACUGUAAGAAUAAGCACCGGCUAACUACGUGCCAGCAGCCGCGGUAA